rnacentral:misc_RNA from 1 species
UCCAGCAGCCGCGGUAAUACGUUCCCGGGUCUUGUACACACCGCCCGUCACACCACGAGAGUUUACAACACCCGAAGCCGGUGGGGUAACCCGCAAGGGGGCUAGCCGUCGAAGGUGGGGUAGAUGAUUGGGGUGAAGUCGUAACAAGGUAGCCGUAUCGGAAGGUGCGGCUGGAUCACCUCCUUUCUAAGGAAAUACCCAACUACGAUGAUAGUUGGAUAAUCAGGCAGGUUUUAUUGCUCACUCGUUGUCAGUUUUGAGAGACUAAUCGUCUUUCAACGAAUCCGUUUGGUGGCGAUGGCGGAGGGGAACCACGCGUUCCCAUACCGAACACGACCGUUAAGCCCUCCAGCGCCAAUGGUACUUAGACCGCAGGGUCUUGGGAGAGUAGGACGUCGCCAAGCGGGUGUCAUGUUACACCUUCGCAGCAGCCGCAAGGUUAAGCUGUGAUUUACUUUGCACCUUGAAAACUGGAUAACGAAAGAAAAGAAAUGCUGAAACAUCCUUUAGCAAAGCAUAUGCUUUCGAAGUGACUUUACUUCCUAAAGUUUUAGGUUAAACUAGGUAAGA